UCCGCGGACCGAGGGCUAUAUUACCCCCCUCUGGAAAAAAGUUUCUAACUCAGACCAGUCUCUCAGAGGUCAUCGUUUGGAUAAAUUCAACUCGCUUUGAUAAUUCAUUAUACUAAAUAAGCUCCGGUACCCGCCUCGCGUCCGACAGCUGGCAACCCUCCCACUUGUUCAAACCAAUGUUAGAGGCGAUCAUGCAAGACGAAGAGAAUUCCUCAGUCUCUCCCAUAGAGAGCCCGAGCAACAGCGAGGACGAGGAGGAUAGGCAGCAGAAGAAGAGUGUCAGAAAGAGGCGACCCAGCAGGAAAUCUGGAGAGGAAACCGACAGCCCUGCGUCGGGGAAAAGAGGCAAGAAAACGGACGGUAGCCCUCAGUCCUUCGAAGAACUGCAAACCCAGAGGGUCAUGGCCAAUGUAAGGGAGCGCCAGAGGACACAGUCUCUAAACGAAGCCUUCUCUGCCCUGCGCAAAAUUAUCCCGACCCUUCCAUCGGACAAACUGAGCAAAAUCCAGACCCUCAAACUGGCAGCGAGGUACAUCGACUUUCUUUACCAGGUCUUACAAAGUGACGAGCUGGACAACAAAAUGUCGAGCUGCAGUUAUGUGGCACACGAGAGACUCAGUUACGCUUUCUCGGUGUGGAGGAUGGAAGGAGCCUGGUCCAUGUCCGCAUCACACUAGCAGUCCCCCUCCGGACAAAGGUACGCAUCAUCUUGGCAGCGUUUAGUGAGUGUCCUGUACAAAUAAUAUGAUGCUGCGCCUGCCGAGGUGAACGAGAUUUGUCACAAAGGGCCAACCGCCGGACUAGACAACACGAGUUUGACGUCUGGAUACUUAAAACACGUUGAUCCUUGCCGUUGAGGGAUAAUGAGAGAAGAGCAAAACAAAAACUAGUGGAAAGGGUGUGGGGAGCACUUACAGAAAACGAGCCGUGGACGUGGACCCAUCCAAUCGUGCGGCUGGACAAUCAUUUGUACUUCUGAGGUGUAUUUUUGCCAUUCACAUCAUUUUAUCCUGACGAUGAAUGUUGUUGGAACUCAUUCCUUCAUUUACUAUGCAUGCCUUCAACAAUCAUGUCUAUAACUGCUAUUGAGGACGCAGGAAAGUUGAAUCCUUUUAUUUCUGUUUUCCAAACUGAUAACGUGAACAGGUCUAGAGUGACAACGAGUUUAUAACAAAAAGGACCAAACUGUUAUGCAGUUGGUUAGUCUUUCCUUUCUCGAGAAACAUUUAUUUAUUUAUUGAUGUGCCAUGUUUCAAUGCAUAAAGAUCUGGUGUCCAAAUGCAUUCAUAUUUUGUCAUUGUUAUGUAAAUACCUUUGUAUAUUUUCUGCAAUAAAUACCUACGAUCUAAACUUUAAGGUAGUUAUAUACAUAUAAAUUUUGAUUUGAUUUAUAUUUAAGGGAUACAUUUGAUGAUGCAUAGGUGUUUCUAGUGAAUUGUUACGGCCCCCAGGAGACAGUGGGAUCUAACAAACGGUGUAGAAAAGACAAACAGAACGGCUACUGCCAAAGACCGGCGAGCUAGAAUGAGAGGGGGAAUGUUUUACCGCCGUCUCGCACGGACUGAUUCUUGAACUUCCAGGAGGAAGAGAGAGAGGGAGAGAAAGUAAUCAAAAACAUUCACAACAAUGUUACGUUGCUUCGAAUUCUGGAUUCUUGUUAAUACUGUAGUGUUUGGACUUAACUCUAAGCUGUGAACGGAUUGUUUGAUUAGCGAUUCGUGUCCGAUUGUUUGUCUGUGUAAACUAAAUUAGUUCAUGAAUUCCGAAGAUAUUAUAAAUGAAAGACACCUUUUUUUUAACAGAUUGAUAUUCACAUAUUGUUAAUGUGCCGUGGAGCAUAAACAUUCAUACAUCCUAAAACGCACGUGACAAAGUAAUCUAAUUGAAAGGAAAUUGGCUGCAUUGUUCUAAACGAUUAAAGAGAAUUAUGUAGACAGAAAUAAAUAUGUCUUUUAAUACGAAAUGCUUGAUUGGAACACAUUGUGCAAUGUGUAUUUAUUUAUUAGUAUUUAAACUGCCCCAAAAGCAGAACAUAAACAUCCGACAUAUUUACUUCAA